rnacentral:rRNA from 1 species
AUUGAACGCUGGCGGCAUGCUUUACACAUGCAAGUCGAACGGCAGCACAGGGAGCUUGCUCCUGGGUGGCGAGUGGCGAACGGGUGAGUAAUGUAUCGGAACGUGCCUGGUAGUGGGGGAUAACUACUCGAAAGAGUGGCUAAUACCGCAUGAGAUCUUUGGAUGAAAGCGGGGGACCUUCGGGCCUCGUGCUACUGGAGCGGCCGAUAUCAGAUUAGGUUGUUGGUGGGGUAAAGGCCUACCAAGCCUGCGAUCUGUAGCUGGUCUGAGAGGACGACCAGCCACACUGGGACUGAGACACGGCCCAGACUCCUACGGGAGGCAGCAGUGGGGAAUUUUGGACAAUGGGCGCAAGCCUGAUCCAGCAAUGCCGCGUGCAGGACGAAGGCCUUCGGGUUGUAAACUGCUUUUGUACAGAACGAAAAGUCUCUGGCUAAUAUCUAGAGAUCAUGACGGUGCUGUAAGAAUAAGCACCGGCUAACUACGUG